GACGAACGCUGGCGGCGUGCCUAAUACAUGCAAGUCGAGCGGACGGAUGGGAGCUUGCUCCCAGACCGUCAGCGGCGGACGGGUGAGUAACACGUGGGCAACCUGCCUGUAAGACUGGGAUAACUCCGGGAAACCGGGGCUAAUACCGGAUAACUCUUUCCCUCACAUGAGGGAAAGCUGAAAGAUGGCAUCUCGCUAUCACUUACAGAUGGGCCCGCGGCGCAUUAGCUAGUUGGUGAGGUAACGGCUCACCAAGGCGACGAUGCGUAGCCGACCUGAGAGGGUGAUAGGCCACACUGGGACUGAGACACGGACCAGACGCCUGCGGGAGGCAGCAGUAGGGAAUCUUCCGCAGUGGACGAGAGUCUGGCGGAGCAACGCCGCGUGAGUGAUGAAGGUUUUCGGAUCGUAAAACUCUGUUGUCAGGGAAGAACAAGUACCGGAGUAACUGCCGGUACCUUGACGGUACCUGGCCAGAAAGCCACGGCUAACUACGUG
rnacentral:rRNA from 1 species